rnacentral:lncRNA from 1 species
ACCCCUUCUCUUCAACACACCCUUUUCUCUUCAUUUCCUGUCUGUAUUGGUAGGGAAUCACUAUAGCAACAAUCUGAAAUAAAUCAAUUCAGUUACUAUUUUCUAGAUGUUACAGCUUUGUUCAGAGGUCAGAUUUCAAAGGAAGCAAAAGACUGAGAUCCUGAGAGAUGAAGGAGGCAGAAUUUCCUGCUAACCUGGAUAACACCAAUGAAAGGAAUCAGAAGGUGAUCUCAUCGCUUCAAUCUCAGGAAUUGGGACCAUCCAUUGUUCCAAUGGAAGAAACAGAACAACAAUGUAAUUAAUCUACAGAGGCACUGCAGGUGAGGACUCUGCAAAAUUAAAGGUAAGUGAUUACUCUGUGCCUCAAGUUAUUCAAACCAAUGGAAUAUUUAACAGACCAUAGGAGAAUACCAAUCCUUUAUUUAUCCUUAGGAGACAAGUUUCUUGGUACAACUCAAGCUGAUUAAAUUGUGUGUACAAUAAUGAC